UACGUAGGGGGCAAGCGUUGUCCGGAAUCAUUGGGCGUAAAGAGCGCGUAGGCGGCCCAGUAAGUCCGCUCUGAAAGUCAGGGGCUCAACCCCUGGAUGCGGGUGGAUACUGCUGGGCUAGAGUCCGGAAGAGGUGAGUGGAAUUCCUGGUGUAGCGGUGAAAUGCGCAGAUAUCAGGAAGAACACCCGUGGCUAAGGCGGUUCUCUAGUACGGUACUGACGCUGAGACGCGAAAGCGUGGGGAGCGAACAGG
rnacentral:rRNA from 1 species